rnacentral:rRNA from 1 species
AAGGAUCAUUAAAAGUAAAUAUGUAUUCUCUCGAAUAUGCAUUUUCAAACCCAUCUGCGUACAUUUACCCGUUGCUUCCGCGAGGCAGUGAUCCCCGAUCACCUCCCGACGAUGGCGCAGGUCAUCCGGUGGGGAGCCCUCGCGAAAGGUUUACACCAAACCCUUGCAUUUCUAUGUCAUCUGUCUGAAACUGUUUAUAACAAAUGUUAAAACUUUCAACAACGGAUCUCUUGGUUCUCGCAUCGAUGAAGAACGCAGCGAAAUGCGAUAAGUAGUGUGAAUUGCAGAAUUCAGUGAAUCAUCGAAUCUUUGAACGCACAUUGCGCCUCCUGGUAUUCCGGGAGGCAUGCCUGUUCGAGCGUCAUUAAUAAACCACUCGAGUCAUUUUCAUGGCUUGGUAUUGGGAGAGGAGUGCACUCGUCUGUGCCCUCCCUUCCGAAAUCCAAUGGCGGAAAGCCCCACGUGCCCCGGCGUAGUAAGUCUUCUCUCGCUCGGAACGUUGGGUGAUCCUGCCGUGAACCCCCCACGAACACAUUUACAGGUUGACCUCGGAUCAGGUAGGGAUACCCGCUGAACUUAA